AAAUCUUGACAGAGGAAGUGAGAUAUUUAUGGGAGACCUAUAUCCCUAUUGGGAAGGAUUCUGUUCUAACAGACAUAUCCCAGCUGCUUAUUGGAAGAGUCAUAUUUUCGGAAACGUAACACUGCACAGCAUAGCAACAGCUACGAGGGAUGCUGUCACAUCAACAUGGUUCCUGACAGCUUUCCCAUCAGAAAGAGAAAUACUGCGCAGGAUCAAUGCACACUUCUUUUCAAGAAAGUCCUUCGAUAUCUUAAAGAAGCAGAAGCAACAUUUUAUUGAAAGAACAGUUGUCUUAUUUCACAACCACAAAGGAUUUGCAUUCGGAGGAAUGUUUAAUGGGUCAGCUGAACUUCUAGCAGAAAUUAGAUCCCUUUCAUUAAGUAAUUGGAUUUCUGACCUGGAUUCCCUUUCCUGAAAUUCAAUUCUGUACCUUCACUAGAGUUAGUCGCCAGCUGCUUCUUUGCUCGAAGUUUAUUUUUUGCCAAGACGUAUACUACAUUAUUAAAAAGGGUUGGCCUUUUACUAUACUGUGCUGUACUAUAUUUCGAAAUGGGAAAGUGAAUUGUUGUUGCAUAUAACCAACUGUAACGGGGCAUUUAUUUUCUGUCUCGCUCUCGCUGUCUUUCUCUCUCUCUCUCUCUUUGGCGUUCUUUGUAACCUCCUGAUGUAAACACAGGCUACCGAGAAGAGACGGAGAACCCUUGUAUUUUAAUGUACUAUUAAGUCAGUCAGCUGACUCUGAGUAUUACUCUGAACACACACACACAGAUAGCAGCAUACAUGCAAACAUAAGUGUGCCCCAAACACAGUUCUCUUCAUAACUUGCUUAAAAUAGUAAUACUCCUUGAAAAAAAAAAACUUGGUUGUAGUUGUAGGGGACAACCGCUGACAAUUAUUCGUACAUGUAUUAAACACUUGGUGGCAACAUCUGGAGAAAUGUGGAGGAGGAAACAAUACGAGACCGUGAGUAGUAAAGAUGUUUUGUAGCUGCACUCCUGCUUCCGAAUCUUCUUUUCUUAUUAAAUAUACUUAAAAUACCAGUUUUUAUGUUCCUACUAUAUUCAAAUUCAGACGAAUGCAGCUUUUAGGUUUCAAUUUUCAUUGCUUAAUAAGUAAGGACUUUAAAAUGUUAUUAUGAAACUAGCAUUUAUGUGUAUUUGUUAAAACUGUUUAUUUACUUUGUGUCCCUCAAUAAAUGGCAAACUGUC